CAUAACAUUGUUCUCAUGGAAAUGUUUCCUGAUGCUUAUUUCUGUUUAUAUGUGAUACAUCCUAUUAUCCUGAGAUAUAAAAAGAUACAAGUUCUUAGGGGAAGUACAUAGAUACAAGUUCUUAGGGGAAGCACAUACAUACACAUUCUGUAUGAGUAGUACAUAGAUAGAUACAAGUUCUGUAUAAGAUCUAUACACGUUCUGUAUGAGAAGUACAUAGAUACACUUUCUGUAUGAGAAGUACAUAGAUACACUUUCUGUAUGAGAAGUACAUUGAUACAAGUUCUGUAUGAGAAGUACAUAGAUACACAUUCUGUAUGAGAAGUACAUAGAUACACUUUCUGUAUGAGAAGUACAUUGAUACAAGCUCUGUAUGAGAAGUACAUAGAUACAAUUAAAGUUCUGUAUGAGAAGUACAUAGAUACAAGUUCUGUAUUAGAGGUAAAUAGAUCCAAGUUCUGUAUGAGAAGUACAUAGAUACAAGUUCUGAAUGAGAAAUACAUAGAUACACGUUCUGUAUGAGAAGUACAUUGAUACACUUUCUGUAUGAGAAAUACAUUGAUACAAGCUCUGUAUGAGAAGUACAUAGAUACACGUUCUGUAUGAGAUGUACAUAGAUACACUUUCUGUAUGAGAAGUACAUUGAUACACUUUCUGUAUGAGAAAUACAUUGAUACAAGUUCUGUAUGAGAAGUACAUAGAUACAAGUUCUGUAUGAGAAGUACAUAGAUAUACGUUCUGUAUGAGAAGUACAUUGAUGCAAGUUCUGUAUGAGAAGUACAUAGAUACAAGUUCUGUAUGAGAAGUACAUAGAUACAAGUUUCAUAUGAGAAGUACAUGGAUACACGUUCUGUAUGAGAAGUACAUAGAUACAAGCUCUGUAUGAGAGGUACAUAGAUACACGUUCUGUAUGAGAAGUACAUAGAUACACUUUCUGUAUGAGAAGUACAUUGAUGCAAGUUCUGUAUGAGAAGUACAUAGAUACAAGUUCUGUAUGAGAAGUACAUAGAUACAAGUUUCAUAUGAGAAGUACAUGGAUACGCGUUCUGUAUGUGAAGUACAUCAUAGAUACAAGUUCUGUAUGAGAAGUACAUAGAUACAAGUUCUGUAUGAGAAGUACACCCUGUUAAUAAAUACAAGUUUUAUAUAGGAAGUACUAAUAUUUAUAGUUCUGUACAUACUAGACAUACUGAGCUAUAUAUUAUGUAGGAAACAGAGCUCACAAGUAAUAGACAAAAGUAUGUGUUUGAUAUACUAAGUAAGAAUUUUAGACUCACUAUAAAAUGUUCUGUAGACUUGUUAUAAAAUGUUCUGUAUCAGUAGGAUGUGAUGGGAAGACUAAAUAAUCAUGUCUUAAAACAAUGAAAAAUGUGUUUCCAUGAAAUGCUGACACAGAACCAUAUUACAGGAAUGAUUAAAUCUGAUACAAUUUUCUUCCCAUAAUUCAGGAACCAUGAAAGCCAUUCUUUUAAUUAUUGUCGUUUUCAGUGAGGGAAAACUUGAUAUCAUUUAUCGACUCCAGAGGCAAUGGAAAUGUCUUGUUGCCAGUUAAUGUCAAAGAUUUGGAUACAAAAACAAUGAGAGAGGGUGAUGGUAGUAAUGAGUUACAGACUAUACCAAUGCUCUUCAUCACAAGGAUGCUGGUGCUAUUUGUUAUGAGACAACCAAUUUUACUGAUGUGUAACCAUUUCAUGUAAUAUAAAACGGCAGAUUAACUGUGAGAGAAAUUUAUAUUCAAUGAUUAUUGACUGGAGGAAAACACAAUGCAUUCGAAGGUUCACUGCUUUUUUUUUUAAAUCUACAAUUUAUUUCAACAGAUUAUUAUUAUACUGGAGUGAAAUUUCUAUUUUUCUGUUGACCAAAUAAUUAAAGGCAUAUAAAAAUGUUUUAAAAUUCCAGCUGCAAUGUCAAAUUGUUUCUUCUUGUGGUUUGGAUGUGAGUUUAGAUCUGUUAGGUGAAGAUUUGUAUCCCCGCCUUAUGGGUUUAGAUCUGUGAGGUGAAGAUUUGUAUCCCUACCUUAUGGGUUUAGAUCUGUGAGGUGAAGAUUUGUAUCCCUACCUUAUGGGUUUACAUCUGUGAGGUGAAGAUUUGUAUCCCUACCUUAUGGGUUUAGAUCUGUUAGGUGAAGAUUUGUAUCCCUACCUUAUGGGUUUAGAUCUGGUAGGUGAAGAUUUGUAUCCCUACCUUAUGGGUUUAGAUCUGGUAGGUGAAGAUUUGUAUCCCUACCUUAUGGGUUUAGAUCUGGUAGGUGAAGAUUUGUAUCCCUACCUUAUGGGUUUAGAUCUGGUAGGUGAAGAUUUGUAUCCCUACUUUAUGGGUUUAGAUCUGGUAGGUGAAGAUUUGUAUCCCUACUUUAUGGGUUUAGAUCGGUUAGGUGAAGAUUUGUAUCCCUACUUUAUGGGUUUAGAUCUGUGAGGAAGAUUUGUAUCCCUACUUUAUGGGUUUAGAUCUGUGAGGAAGAUUUGUGUCCCUACCUUAUGGGUUUAGAUCUGUGAGGAAGAUUUGUAUCCCUACUUUAUGGGUUUAGAUCUGUGAGGAAGAUUUGUAUCCCUACCUUAUGGGUUUAGAUCUGUGAGGUGAAGAUUUGUAUCCCUACCUUAUGGGUUUAGAUCUGUGAGGUGAAGAUUUGUAUCCCUACCUUAUGGGUUUAGAUCUGUGAGGUGAAGAUUUGUAUCCCUACCUUAUGGGUUUAGAUUAGGUAGGUGAAGAUUUGUAUCCCUACCUUAUGGGUUUAGAUCUGGUAGGUGAAGAUUUGUAUCCCUACUUUAUGGGUUUAGAUUAGGUAGGUGAAGAUUUGUAUCCCUACCUUAUGGGUUUAGAUUAGGUAGGUGAAGAUUUGUAUCCCCACCUUAUGGGUUUAGAUCUGUCAGGUGAAGAUUUGUAUCCCUACCUUAUGGGUUUAAAUCUGUCAGGUGAAGAUUUGUAUGCCUACCUUAUGGGUUUAGAUCUGUCAGGUGAAGAUUUGUGUCCCUACCUUAUGGGUUUAGAUCUGUUAGGUGAAGAUUUGUAUCCCUACCUUAUGGGUUUAGAUCUGUUAGGUGAAGAUUUGUGUCCCUACCUUAUGGGUUUAGAUCUGUCAGGUGAAGAUUUGAAUCCCUACCUUAUGGGUUUAGAUCUGUUAGGUGAAGAUUUGUAUCCCCACCUUAUGGGUUUAGAUCUGUCAGGUGAAGAUUUGUAUCCCUACCUUAUGGGUUUAGAUCUGUAAGGUGAAGAUUUGUAUCCCUACCUUAUGGGUUUAGAUCUGUUAGGUGAAGAUUUGUAUCUACCUUAUGGGUUUAGAUCUGUUAGGUGAAGAUUUGUAUCCCUACCUUAUGGGUUUAGAUCUGUUAGGUGAAGAUUUGUAUCCCUACCUUAUGGGUUUAGAUCUGUCAGGUGAAGAUUUGUAUCCCUAUUCCUUAUGGGUUUAGAUCUGUGAGGUGAAGAUUUGUAUCCCUACCUCAUGGGUUUACAUCUGUGAGGAAGAUUUGUAUCCCUACCUUAUGGGUUUAGAUCUGUCAGGUGAAGAUUUGUAUCUACCUUAUGGGUUUAGAUCUGUGAGGUGAAGAUUUGUAUCCCUACCUUAUGGGUUUAGAUCUGUGAGGUGAAGAUUUGUAUCCCUACCUUAUGGGUUUAGAUCUGUGAGGUGAAGAUUUGUAUCCCCACCUUAUGGGUUUAGAUCUGUGAGGUGAAGAUUUGUAUCCCCACCUUAUGGGUUUAGAUCUGUGAGGUGAAGAUUUGUAUCCCUACCUUAUGGGUUUAGAUCUGUUAGGUGAAGAUUUGUAUCUCUACCUUAUGGGUUUAGAUCUGUCAGGUGAAGAUUUGUAUCCCUACCUUAUGGGUUUAGAUCUGUCAGGUGAAGAUUUGUAUCCCUACCUUAUGGGUUUAGAUCUGUCGGGUGAAGAUUUGUAUCCCUACCUUAUGGGUUUAGAUCUGUCAGGUGAAGAUUUGUAUCCAUACCUUAUGGGUUUAGAUCUGUCAGGUGAAGAUUUGUAUCCCUACCUUAUGGGUUUAGAUCUGUUAGGUGAAGAUUUGUAUCUCUACCUUAUGGGUUUAGAUCUGUGAGGAAGAUUUGUAUCCCUACCUUAUGGGUUUAGAUCUGUUAGGUGAAGAUUUGUAUCUCUACCUUAUGGGUUUAGAUCUGUGAGGAAGAUUUGUAUCCCUACCUUAUGGGUUUAGAUCUGUAAGGUGAAGAUUUGUAUCCCUACCUUAUGGGUUUAGAUCUGUGAGGAAGAUUUGUAUCCCUACCUUAUGGGUUUAGAUCUGUAAGGUGAAGAUUUGUAUCUCUACCUUAUGGGUUUAGAUCUGUGAGGAAGAUUUGUAUCCCUACUUUAUGGGUUUAGAUCUGUCAGGUGAAGAUUUGUAUCCCUACCUUAUGGGUUUAGAUCUGUGAGGUGAAGAUUUGUAUCCCUACCUUAUGGGUUUAGAUCUGUGAGGUGAAGAUUUGUAUCCCUACCUUAUGGGUUUAGAUCUGGUAGGUGAAGAUUUGUAUCCCCACCUUAUGGGUUUAGAUCUGUGAGGAAGAUUUGUAUCCCUACCUUAUGGGUUUAGAUCUGUCAGGUGAAGAUUUGUAUCUCUACCUUAUGGGUUUAGAUCUGUCAGGUGAAGAUUUGUAUCCCUACCUUAUGGGUUUAGAUCUGGUAGGUGAAGAUUUGUAUCCCUACCUUAUGGGUUUAGAUCUGUCAGGUGAAGAUUUGUAUCCCUAUUCCUUAUGGGUUUAGAUCUGUCAGGUGAAGAUUUGUAUCCCUACCUUAUGGGUUUAGAUCUGUGAGGUGAAGAUUUGUAUCCCUACCUUAUGGGUUUAGAUCUGUGAGGUGAAGAUUUGUAUCCCUACCUUAUGGGUUUAGAUCUGUGAGGUGAAGAUUUGUAUCCCUACCUUAUGGGUUUACAUCUGUGAGGAAGAUUUGUAUCCCCACCUUAUGGGUUUAGAUCUGUAAGGUGAAGAUUUGUAUCCCUACCUUAUGGGUUUAGAUCUGGUAGGUGAAGAUUUGUAUCCCCACCUUAUGGGUUUAGAUCUGUCAGGUGAAGAUUUGUAUCCCUACCUUAUGGGUUUAGAUCUGUGAGGUGAAGAUUUGUAUCCCUACCUUAUGGGUUUAGAUCUGUGAGGUGAAGAUUUGUAUCCCUACCUUAUGGGUUUAGAUCUGUUAGGUGAAGAUUUGUAUCCCUACCUUAUGGGUUUAGAUCUGUCAGGUGAAGAUUUGUAUCCCUACCUUAUGGGUUUAGAUCUGUGAGGUGAAGAUUUGUAUCCCUACCUUAUGGGUUUAGAUCUGUGAGGUGAAGAUUUGUAUCUCUACCUUAUGGGUUUAGAUCUGUUAGGUGAAGAUUUGUAUCCCUACCUUAUGGGUUUAGAUCUGUAAGGUGAAGAUUUGUAUCCCUACCUUAUGGGUUUACAUCUGUGAGGUGAAGAUUUGUAUCCCUACCUUAUGGGUUUAGAUCUGGUAGGUGAAGAUUUGUAUCCCUACCUUAUGGGUUUACAUCUGUGAGGUGAAGAUUUGUAUCCCUACCUUAUGGGUUUAGAUCUGGUAGGUGAAGAUUUGUAUCCCUACCUUAUGGGUUUAGAUCUGUGAGGUGAAGAUUUGUAUCCCUACCUUAUGGGUUUAGAUCUGUGAGGUGAAGAUUUGUAUCCCUACCUUAUGGGUUUAGAUCUGGUAGGUGAAGAUUUGUAUCCCUACCUUAUGGGUUUAGAUCUGGUAGGUGAAGAUUUGUAUCCCCACCUUAUGGGUUUAGAUCUGUGAGGUGAAGAUUUGUAUCCCUACCUUAGACUCUCAUCCUAUAUGCCUUUUGUGUCAGUUGUAAACAACCUCGCAUCUUCUGAGACAUAUUCAUGUGUUUAUUUACUGUGUUAGUGUAUUCCAGCAGUUCUGUGAUAGUAUGUGCAAUAUUUACAGCCAUUUGUUUUUCAUGAAGGAAAUUGCAUGGAGACAUACUUUAUACAAGAUUGUGUUAUAUAAGUUAUCAUGUCAUUUUUAUUAAAAUAAUGUUUAUACCUCUAAUUGCCUAUUGAAUCUAUUUUUGAAUGAUAUGUUUUCCAAUUUGUCAAGUCAAUAGUAAAUGUAACAUCAUCAGCAGUUGAUCAUUAGUAAUUAAUAUUCAUCAUAUCUUAUUACUCUAAAAUAAUUUGGAAAAUCAUUUUUCCCAAAGCUUCAAAAUUAGAGUUGUAGGCCUAGAUAGUAAUUCUCUUCGGGAUAUUUUUCAAAAUAAAAAAUGUCAAAAGUCAAAA